GGCUCUUUGCUUAAUUUAUAUAGAGAGUCGGGCCUGCCCAGUGAUAUUUUUAACGGCCGCGGUACUCUGACCGUGCAAAGGUAGCAUAAUCAUUUGCUUUUUAAUUGAAGGCUGGUAUGAAAGGUUUGACGAAAGCUAAGCUGUCUUUUACUGAUUAAGAUGAAAUUUACCUUUAAGUGCAAAGGCUUAUAUGCAACUAAAAGACAAGAAGACCCUAUUGAGCUUUAAAAUCUAGCGGAGUAAUAUAUAUCAAUAAUGAGAUUCUAAUUCUUUUAAAAUUUUUUAGUUGGGGCGACUUUGGAACAGUAAUAACUUCCAAACAUUAAAGAUACCCUUAAGUUUUGACCCAAAGAGUUUGAUUAAUGGAAUUAGUUACCAUAGGGAUAACAGCAUAAUCUUUUUUAAGAGCUCUAAUCGAAAGAAAGGGUUGUGACCUCGAUGUUGGACUAGAAUAUCCUGAAGGUGCAGAAGUCUUCGAAGGUUGGUCUGUUCGACCAUUAAAAUUCUACAUGAUCUGAGUUCAGACCGGCGUGAGCCAGGUCAGUUUCUAUCUCUAGUUUUUUAGCGGCCUUAGUACGAAAGGAUCAGGCUGUAAAAGUAUAAAACUUUUUUAAAUGAUAAAAUAUAAUAAAAAUUUAAGUGUUAUAUAUUUCUA
rnacentral:rRNA from 2 species